GACGAACGCUGGCGGCGUGCUUUACACAUGCAAGUCGAGCGAUGAGAUCCCUUCGGGGAAGGAUUAGCGGCGAACGGGUGAGGAACACGUGAGGAAUCUGCCUUCAACACUGGGAUAACUCCGGGAAACCGGGGCUAAUACCGGAUACGAGACCUGCAGGCAUCUGCGGGUCUGGAAAGUUUUUCGGUUGAAGAUGACCUCGCGGCCUAUCAGCUUGUUGGUGAGGUAAUGGCUCACCAAGGCGACGACGGGUAGCCGGCCUGAGAGGGCGACCGGCCACACUGGGACUGAGACACGGCCCAGACUCCUACGGGAGGCAGCAGUGGGGAAUAUUGGGCAAUGGAGGGAACUCUGACCCAGCGACGCCGCGUGCGGGAUGAAGGCCUUCGGGUUGUAAACCGCUUUCAGCAAGGAAGAAGCGAAAGUGACGGUACUUGCAGAAGAAGCACCGGCUAACUAUGUGCCAGCAGCCGCGGUAAUACAUAGGGUGCAAGCGUUGUCCGGAAUUAUUGGGCGUAAAGAGCUCGUAGGUGGUUCGUCACGUCGGAUGUGAAAAUCUGGGGCUUAACCCCAGACCUGCAUUCGGUACGGGCGAGCUAGAGUGUGGUAGGGGAGACUGGAAUUCCUGGUGUAGCGGUGGAAUGCGCAGAUAUCAGGAGGGACACCGAUGGCGAAGGCAGGUCUCUGGGCCAAUACUGACACUGAGGAGCGAAAGCGUGGGGAGCGAACAGGAUUAGAUACCCUGGUAGUCCACGCCGUAAACGGUGGGCGCUAGUUGUGCGAACCUUCCACGGUUUGUGCGACGCAGCUAACGCAUUAAGCGCCCCGCCUGGGGAGUACGAUCGCAAGAUUAAAACUCAAAGGAAUUGACGGGGCCCCGC
rnacentral:rRNA from 1 species